rnacentral:rRNA from 1 species
UUAAGUUAUUAAGGGCGCACGGUGGAUGCCUUGGCACUAGAAGCCGAUGAAGGACGUUACUAACGACGAUAUGCUUUGGGGAGCUGUAAGUAAGCUUUGAUCCAGAGAUUUCCGAAUGGGGAAACCCAGCAUGAGUUAUGUCAUGUUAUCGAUAUGUGAAUACAUAGCAUAUCAGAAGGCACACCCGGAGAACUGAAACAUCUUAGUACCCGGAGGAAGAGAAAGAAAAUUCGAUUCCCUUAGUAGCGGCGAGCGAAACGGGAAGAGCCCAAACCAAAAAGCUUGCUUGUUGGGGUUGUAGGACACUCUAUACGGAGUUACAAAGGACGACAUUAGACGAAUCAUCUGGAAAGAUGAAUCAAAGAAGGUAAUAAUCCUGUAGUCGAAAAUGUUGUCUCUCUUGAGUGGAUCCUGAGUACGACGGAGCACGUGAAAUUCCGUCGGAAUCUGGGAGGACCAUCUCCUAAGGCUAAAUACUCUCUAGUGACCGAUAGUGAACCAGUACCGUGAGGGAAAGGUGAAAAGCACCCCGGAAGGGGAGUGAAAUAGAACCUGAAACCGUGUGCUUACAAGUAGUCAGAGCCCGUUAAUGGGUGAUGGCGUGCCUUUUGUAGAAUGAACCGGCGAGUUACGAUUUGAUGCAAGGUUAAGCAGUAAAUGUGGAGCCGUAGCGAAAGCGAGUCUGAAUAGGGCGUUUAGUAUUUGGUCGUAGACCCGAAACCAGGUGAUCUACCCUUGGUCAGGUUGAAGUUCAGGUAACACUGAAUGGAGGACCGAACCGACUUACGUUGAAAAGUGAGCGGAUGAACUGAGGGUAGCGGAGAAAUUCCAAUCGAACCUGGAGAUAGCUGGUUCUCUCCGAAAUAGCUUUAGGGCUAGCCUCAAGUGAUGAUUAUUGGAGGUAGAGCACUGUUUGGACGAGGGGCCCCUCUCGGGUUACCGAAUUCAGACAAACUCCGAAUGCCAAUUAAUUUAACUUGGGAGUCAGAACAUGGGUGAUAAGGUCCGUGUUCGAAAGGGAAACAGCCCAGACCACCAGCUAAGGUCCCAAAAUAUAUGUUAAGUGGAAAAGGAUGUGGCGUUGCCCAGACAACUAGGAUGUUGGCUUAGAAGCAGCCAUCAUUUAAAGAGUGCGUAAUAGCUCACUAGUCGAGUGACACUGCGCCGAAAAUGUACCGGGGCUAAACAUAUUACCGAAGCUGUGGAUUGUCCUUUGGACAAUGGUAGGAGAGCGUUCUAAGGGCGUUGAAGCAUGAUCGUAAGGACAUGUGGAGCGCUUAGAAGUGAGAAUGCCGGUGUGAGUAGCGAAAGACGGGUGAGAAUCCCGUCCACCGAUUGACUAAGGUUUCCAGAGGAAGGCUCGUCCGCUCUGGGUUAGUCGGGUCCUAAGCUGAGGCCGACAGGCGUAGGCGAUGGAUAACAGGUUGAUAUUCCUGUACCACCUAUAAUCGUUUUAAUCGAUGGGGGGACGCAGUAGGAUAGGCGAAGCGUGCGAUUGGAUUGCACGUCUAAGCAGUAAGGCUGAGUAUUAGGCAAAUCCGGUACUCGUUAAGGCUGAGCUGUGAUGGGGAGAAGACAUUGAGUCUUCGAGUCGUUGAUUUCACACUGCCGAGAAAAGCCUCUAGAUAGAAAAUAGGUGCCCGUACCGCAAACCGACACAGGUAGUCAAGAUGAGAAUUCUAAGGUGAGCGAGCGAACUCUCGUUAAGGAACUCGGCAAAAUGACCCCGUAACUUCGGGAGAAGGGGUGCUCUUUAGGGUUAACGCCCAGAAGAGCCGCAGUGAAUAGGCCCAAGCGACUGUUUAUCAAAAACACAGGUCUCUGCUAAACCGUAAGGUGAUGUAUAGGGGCUGACGCCUGCCCGGUGCUGGAAGGUUAAGAGGAGUGGUUAGCUUCUGCGAAGCUACGAAUCGAAGCCCCAGUAAACGGCGGCCGUAACUAUAACGGUCCUAAGGUAGCGAAAUUCCUUGUCGGGUAAGUUCCGACCCGCACGAAAGGCGUAACGAUUUGGGCACUGUCUCAACGAGAGACUCGGUGAAAUCAUAGUACCUGUGAAGAUGCAGGUUACCCGCGACAGGACGGAAAGACCCCGUGGAGCUUUACUGUAGCCUGAUAUUGAAAUUCGGCACAGCUUGUACAGGAUAGGUAGGAGCCUUUGAAACGUGAGCGCUAGCUUACGUGGAGGCGCUGGUGGGAUACUACCCUAGCUGUGUUGGCUUUCUAACCCGCACCACUUAUCGUGGUGGGAGACAGUGUCAAGCGGGCAGUUUGACUGGGGCGGUCGCCUCCUAAAAGGUAACGGAGGCGCUCAAAGGUUCCCUCAGAAUGGUUGGAAAUCAUUCAUAGAGUGUAAAGGCAUAAGGGAGCUUGACUGCGAGACCUACAAGUCGAGCAGGGUCGAAAGACGGACUUAGUGAUCCGGUGGUUCCGCAUGGAAGGGCCAUCGCUCAACGGAUAAAAGCUACCCCGGGGAUAACAGGCUUAUCUCCCCCAAGAGUUCACAUCGACGGGGAGGUUUGGCACCUCGAUGUCGGCUCAUCGCAUCCUGGGGCUGUAGUCGGUCCCAAGGGUUGGGCUGUUCGCCCAUUAAAGCGGUACGCGAGCUGGGUUCAGAACGUCGUGAGACAGUUCGGUCCCUAUCCGUCGUGGGCGUAGGAAAUUUGAGAGGAGCUGUCCUUAGUACGAGAGGACCGGGAUGGACAUACCUCUGGUGUACCAGUUGUCGUGC